UGUAAAGGACUACCAAGGCGAUGAUACAUAGCCGACCUGAGAGGGUGAUCGGCCACACUGGGACUGAGACACGGCCCAGACUCCUACGGGAGGCAGCAGUAGGGAAUCUUCGGCAAUGGGGGCAACCCUGACCGAGCAACGCCGCGUGAGUGAAGAAGGUUUUCGGAUCGUAAAACUCUGUUGUUAGAGAAGAACGUUAAGUAGAGUGGAAGAUUACUUAAGUGACGGUAUCUAACCAGAAAGGGACGGCUAACUACGUGCCAGCAGCCGCGGUAAUACGUAGGUCCCAAGCGUUGUCCGGAUUUAUUGGGCGUAAAGCGAGCGCAGGUGGUUUCUUAAGUCUGAUGUAAAAGGCACUGGCUCAACCAUUGUGUGCAUUGGAAACUGGGAGACUUGAGUGCAGGAGAGGAAAGUGGAAUUCCAUGUGUAGCGGUGAAAUGCGUAAAUAUAUGGAGGAACACCGGAGGCGAAAGCGGCUCUCUGGCCUGUAACUGACACUGAGGCUCGAAAGCGUGGGGAGCAAACAGGAUUAAAUACCCUGGUAGUCCACGCCGUAAACGAUGAGUGCUAACUGUUAGAGAGGUUUCCGUUCUUUGUAGCGCCACUAAAGCCUUAAACACCCCCCCUGGGGGAAUACCACCCCCAGGUUUGAACCUCAAGGGAUUUACG
rnacentral:rRNA from 1 species